rnacentral:rRNA from 1 species
AUUGAACGCUGGCGGCAGGCCUAACACAUGCCAGUCGAGCGGAUGAAGGGAGCUUGCUCCUGGAUUCAGCGGCGGACGGGUGAGUAAUGCCUAGGAAUCUGCCUGGUAGUGGUUGAUAACGUCCGGAAACGGGCGCUAAUACCGCAUACGUCCUGAGGGAGAAAGUGGGGGAUCUUCGGACCUCACGCUAUCAGAUGUGCCUAGGUCGGAUUAGCUAGUUGGUGGGGUAAAGGCCUACCAAGGCGACGAUCCGUAACUGGUCUGAGAGGAUGAUCUGUCACACUGGAACUGAGACACGGUCCAGACGCCUACGGGAGGCAGCAGUGGGGAAUAUUGGACAAUGGGCGAAAGCCUGAUCCAGCCAUGCCGCGUGUGUGAAGAAGGUCUUCGGAUUGUAAAGCACUUUAAGUUGGGAGGAAGGGCAGUAAGUUAAUACCUUGCUGUUUUGACGGUACCAACAGAAUAAGCACCGGCUAACUUCGUG